rnacentral:lncRNA from 1 species
CUAUUUGUCGCUGGAAGUGACUAAAAUACUUCCAAGAUCAAAAAAUUCAUCUAACUAGAGCCACUAAAUGCAAGAAGAUGGAAACUAUCAGAUAACAGGCUUAAUAAUGGUGAAUAGUGAGAAUAAAUCUUUUCAGCUUAAAGUUCUAAACAUACAGAUACUAGCAAUGAGAUUAUAACAGAAUCAGGGUUUGCUGUACUAAUACGUACCACCCGGGGCGGUACAUACUGGUCCAAUAGGGGACCGAUACAUAGACCGCCCUAUAUCGAGCGAUACCAUUACAAUGACCCCAUAUCGGGCGAUAUGGAAUCUGUACCGGUUGAUAACGAUCGAAAUCUGACAUUUACCGAUUGGUAUAGGUCAGUAAUGGUCAGAUUUCUACCGUUACUGACCAAGGGCUAAGAUUGCAUUAUUUCAAAUGAUCAAAUUGACCAUUUGAAUCAUUAGAAAGGGUUUUGAAACCCUUUCCUCCCCCAUCUUUCAACUCAUUUCACUCUAUCAAUCUCUUAAACUCUCUUAAACUCCUCCUCACUCACAUCUCUCUCUCAUUCUCACAUUUUCACUCUCCUAAAACUCAAUAAAGCUAUGGUUUAUGGAUUGGAUCAAAAUUGAUAGCUAAUUUGGGAGGAUUAAAAGGAAGAACGCUCUAAUCAAGGUAUGCAUUCUCUUUCUAGAUUUUUAUUGAUUUAUGAUAUGACUAAGCCUAUUCUAUGUGGUUGAUGAUUUAAUGUCUACUAUGUUGCUUAACAGUAGAAUAGUAUUAAUUAAGGAGUAAUAAGGCCUUUAAUAUUAUGGUUAGUGUGUUUAAUGCUGAUUUUUUCGAAAUUAGACACUUAAUGGAUCAAAUCUUUAUAUUCCAUGCAUAGUAAUUUAUAUGUUUGUGAUGGCAUAAUAGGUCUAACUAGGUUUUAAUUAAGAUUUUUAAUAUUUUGAUUAGUGGUUUUAAUGAUGAUUUAAUCAAAUUUUGAUUAAUAUUAGGUCAAUUCAAUAUCUUUAAUACCUAUUAAGAUAUUUGACAGUGAAAGAGGACUAAUUAGGAAUUAAUUAACUAUGUUAAUGUUGUGAUUAGUAUAUUUAAUUACGUUAAUAUCGAAAUUUGACUCAUAUUGAAUCAAUUAAAUGCCUUUAAUGCCUAUUAGAGUGUUUGACAUGUUUAUAAUGAUGAAAGAGGAAAUAAUUAUAGGGUAAUUAAUUAUGUUAAUGGUAUGAUUAGUGUAUUUAAUGAUGAUUUCAUAAUCUACAUUAGAUCACAUUUAGAUAUUUAAUUAAUAAUAGUAAAAUAGAGUUAAUUAGAGUUUAAUUAAGUGAAUAGUGAGAAUAAAUCUUUCCAGCUUAAAGUUCUAAACAUACAGAUACUAUUAAUGGGAUUAUAACAGAACAAGGGUUUGUUUUACCGAUACGUACCACCCGAUAUGGGCGGUACAUACCAAUCCAAUAGGGGACCGAUACACGGACUGCCCUAUAUCGGGCGAUACCAUUACAUGACCCUAUAUUGGGCGAUAUGGGGUCAGUACCGGUUCGUAACGAUCGAAAUCCGAUCGUUACUGACUAGUACAGGUCAGUAAUGGUCAGAUUUCGAUCGUUACUGACCAAGGGCUAAGAUUGCCCUAUUUCAAACGGUCAAAUUGAUCGUUUGAACCAUUGGAAAGGGUUUUUAAACCCUUUUCUCUCUCCCUCUUUCAACUUAUUUCACUCUAUCAAUUUCUUCUACCCUCUCAAACUCCUUCUCACUCACAUCUAUCUCAUUCUCAUAUUUUACUCUCCUAAACUCAAUAAAACUAUGAUUUGUGGAUUGGAUCAAAUUUGAUAAGCUAAUUUGGGAGGAUUAAGAGGAAAAACACUCUA